AUGAUUGUGGUCGCUGCAACCAACAACCUCGAUUCACUAGAUCAAGCCCUUGUUAGGUCUGGGCGUUUCGACCGUCACAUUCAGAUUCAUUAUCCAAAUGUUGAGGGCCGACGACAGAUCCUCGAGGCUCAUAUGUCAAAGGUGUUGAAAGCCCAGGACGUGGAUCUUCUGACCAUCGCGAAGAGGACAUCUGGGCUCUCAGGAGCGAACCUGGCAAACCUGGUGAACGACGCCGUUCUCAAGGCUGCCAAGGACGGGGCAGAAGCUGUUGCGACGCAUCACCUGGAGUAUGCCACGGACAGGAUUCUAGUGGGCGGUGAGCGCAGAUCGGUGGCGAUGCCUGAUAACUGCAAGAGGAUGACCACGUACCAUGAGGCAGGGCACGCCAUCGUUGCUAUCCACACGGAUGGCGCUGAUCCCGUCCACAAGGCUACCAUUGUUCCCAGGGGUGAUUUUCUCGGCAUGGUGUGGCAGCUGCCGGAGGAGGCCGAUGAGUUUAUAUAUUCAAAGAAGAAGAUGCUCGCAGGACUAGAUGUUCUCAUGGGAGGCCGGGCGGCUGAGGAGGUUAUCUUUGGUGAGAGCGAGGUGAGCUCCCUUGCCCUGACUGACAUGGGCGAGGCGACCCAGCUGGCGACGGACAUGGUUGCCAGGUAUGGCAUGAGCAAGCAGGUCGGCCCUGUCUCCUACGACAACAACGACGGCAGUUGGAACGCCAAGACCAUGAGCUGGAACUCGACAACCAUGGUGGACCAGGAGGUGAAAGAGUUGUUGAGCAAGGCUUACAAGAACGCAAAGACGAUCCUCGCGGCGAACAAGCGGGAGCUCCAUGCGCUCGCUGUCGCCCUCCUGGAGCACGAGACCCUAACCGGAGACCAGAUCACGGCGCUCCUGAAUGAAACUCUCGCCAAAGACCAGACCGUGAAACCGGCAUCCGCUGGCCGCAAGAGGACGAAGAAGAAGUAA
rnacentral:rRNA from 1 species